AUGCCUGUUCGAGCGUCAUUUGUACCUUCAAGCUUUGCUUGGUGUUGGGUGUUUGUCUCGCCUCUGCGCGCAGACUCGCCUUAA
rnacentral:rRNA from 1 species